rnacentral:rRNA from 1 species
GGGGAAUAUUGGGCAAUGGGCGCAAGCCUGACCCAGCAACGCCGCGUGAAGGAAGAAGGCUUUCGGGUUGUAAACUUCUUUUAUCAGGGACGAUAAUGACGGUACCUGAUGAAUAAGCUCCGGCUAACUACGUGCCAGCAGCCGCGGUAAUACGUAGGGAGCAAGCGUUAUCCGGAUUUACUGGGUGUAAAGGGAGCGCAGGCGGACCGGCAAGUUGGAAGUGAAAACUAUGGGCUCAACCCAUAAAUUGCUUUCAAAACUGCUGGCCUUGAGUAGUGCAGAGGUAGGUGGAAUUCCCGGUGUAGCGGUGGAAUGCGUAGAUAUCGGGAGGAACACCAGUGGCGAAGGCGACCUACUGGGCACCAACUGACGCUGAGGCUCGAAAGCAUGGGUAGCAAACAGGAUUAGAUACCCUGGUAGUCCAUGCCGUAAACGAUGAUUACUAGGUGUUGGAGGAUUGACCCCUUCAGUGCCGCAGUUAACACAAUAAGUAAUCCACCUGGGGAGUACGACCGCAAGGUUGAAACUCAAAGGAAUUGACGGGGGCCCGCACAAGCAGUGGAGUAUGUGGUUUAAUUCGAAGCAACGCGAAGAACCUUACCAGGUCUUGACAUCCGAUGCAUAGCUUAGAGAUAAGUGAAGUCCUUCGGGACAUCGAGACAGGUGGUGCAUGGUUGUCGUCAGCUCGUGUCGUGAGAUGUUGGGUUAAGUCCCGCAACGAGCGCAACCCUUAUUGCCAGUUACUACGUAAGAGGACUCUGGCGAGACUGCCGUUGACAAAACGGAGGAAGGUGGGGAUGACGUCAAAUCAUCAUGCCCUUUAUGACCUGGGCUACACACGUACUACAAUGGCGUUUAACAAAGAGAAGCAAGACCGCGAGGUGGAGCAAAACUCAAAAACAACGUCUCAGUUCAGAUUGCAGGCUGCAACUCGCCUGCAUGAAGUCGGAAUUGCUAGUAAUCGCGGAUCAGCAUGCCGCGGUGAAUACGUUCCCG